rnacentral:rRNA from 1 species
UACGUAGGGUGCGAGCGUUGUCCGGAAUUAUUGGGCGUAAAGAGCUUGUAGGCGGUUUGUCGCGUCUGCCGUGAAAAUCCAGGGCUCAACCCCGGACUUGCGGUGGGUACGGGCAGACUAGAGUGUGGUAGGGGAGACUGGAAUUCCUGGUGUAGCGGUGAAAUGCGCAGAUAUCAGGAGGAACACCGAUGGCGAAGGCAGGUCUCUGGGCCACUACUGACGCUGAGAAGCGAAAGCGUGGGGAGCGAACAGG